UACGUAGGGGGCGAGCGUUGUCCGGAAUCAUUGGGCGUAAAGCGCGUGUAGGCGGCCCGAUAAGUCCGCUGUGAAAGUCCAGGGCUCAACCCUGGGAUGCCGGUGGAUACUGUCGGGCUCGAGUCCGGAAGAGGAGUGUGGAAUUCCUGGUGUAGCGGUGAAAUGCGCAGAUAUCAGGAGGAACACCGACGGCGAAGGCAGCACUCUGGGACGUGACUGACGCUGAGACGCGAAAGCGUGGGGAGCAAACAGG
rnacentral:rRNA from 1 species